UACGUAGGCAGCGAGCGUUGUUCGGAGUUACUGGGCGUAAAGGGUGUGUAGGCGGUUGUUUAAGUUUGGUGUGAAAUCUCCCCGGCUCAACUGGGAGGGUGCGCCGAAUACUGAAUGACUAGAGUGCGGGAGAGGUGAGUGGAAUUCCUGGUGUAGCGGUGAAAUGCGUAGAUAUCAGGAGGAACACCGGUGGUGUAGACGGCUCACUGGACCGUAACUGACGCUGAGACACGAAAGCGUGGGUAGCAAACAGG
rnacentral:rRNA from 1 species